CCAAACAACAAACCUGUCUCCAGAAACCAAACUGCCUGCUUGAAGAUGAACACGGAUGACGCAAUAAAAGUCUCCAUUUACAACAAAGGCCAUGAGGAAGAACUCUAUCAUGCUCACAGAGAAUAGAGCUCAGUGCUGCUAACUGGGAGAGCAGCUGGAAAACUGGAGGAGAACAGUUGAACACCUAUUAAUACAGACGACUGUAUUAUUUUUCUGCAAGAACCACAACAAGCAAAGACAAUGAUGAGCACUCUGAGCAAACAACAGUCAGACGCUUGAUUAUGCACUGCACUUUACCGAGUUCUUCAA